GUGACCUUGGGGUUGAGCUGUUGGUACUGCAGUUGCUGCAGCCGGCGACGCUGGGGAAAGGAGAUUGGCUGGCGAGGGAGGUGAGGGAUGUGCUGCCAGAAGACUGGGCUCCCCGCCAGAUGCUCAUGACGGUGGCCUGGGGGGGACCAGAGCCCCCAGGAGCGUCAGCUCCCCGUCAUCCCAAGGAAGUGUGGGGGCUGGAGGGAGUGGGGGAUGGAGAGGGACUGACAGGUUGGAGAAAUCCACUUGUUCCCCUAGGGUCUCCCUCCCUUCAGACCCAAGCUGUCUGGGAGAAACUGUGGCUGUCACCAUAGCAACAGAAGCAGCUGAUGCGUGAUGCAGAGAACCUCGGUCAAGCUGGUGCCAGUAUUUUUCCAUCUGAAUCUCAUUUCUUCAGUGAAAAGAGAGACCCGAGGCCGGGGAAUGGCCCGGGUGGGGAGGUCUGGGGGUUUGGAGGUGGGAGAGUUCUCAGAUAUUCGAUUGAAUGUCUGGGGAAUGCAGAUGGAAGAGAAGCCGCCAUUUACUCGGGGAAGACAUACUUUAAAUAUUCAAGCAGCUUCAGAACUCCCUUAAAUCAUACAUGAAUCCUGGAAGCAGCUUUCUCGUCGCCCUUGGAAAGGUCUAGAGCAUUACAUUCCGGAGAACCUCAUGGAAGGGGCUGUCUCUGAUCGUGAAAGACCAUGAACUUGGGAGUCCGACUGACCUUGGAGUCCCAGUUCUGUGAACUUCCAGAUGUGCCACUCUGCCUCCCCGCUCAUAAGCCUCAGUUGAGUGGACACCCGAUUCCCACCUGAUCCCACAUCCCCAGCCCCUUUUUAUUUUUUAUUUAGAGACAGGGUCUUGGUAAGUUGUUGAGGGCCUCACUAAGUUGCUGAGGCCGGCCUCCAACUUGCCAUCCUCCUCCUUCAGCCUCCCGAGUUGCUGGGAUGACAGAUGUGCCCCGCGGUGCCGGGCCUAAAAAUCAUUGUUGACUUUAUCAAUGCUCCAUAAACGUGCUCAAUAAACGUUCACGGCUUUCAUCACUGUGAACGUUUCUAGUAUUCCUACGACAACUACUCUUGGUAGACGACGGCUAUUCCUAUUUCCACUCUUACUACGACCACUAUCACUCCACCCCCUCCUCCCCAUCCUCUCGCCAGCCAUCGUGGGGAUAACAUAAUUUGGGUUAUAAAGCUCUGCAGAUUUGGGGUGGUCAAACCCUGCACAUCUCGAAGAAAGAAAUUGCCCUUGACCUGUUCCUGGGAGAUAACCUCUGAGCCACUGUAAUAUCCUAUGUGAUAAGAGAGUUCCAUACACCUGGAGCCUGGGGCCAUACCAGAUAAUUUAUGCUAAAAAUGUGAUUUAUGGUGGGGACCUUGGGCCAUGCUGGAGGGACUGCAGGCUGGGUAACUGACCCCCAGUAAAAGCCGUCAGUACUAAGGCUCAAGUGAGCUUCCUGAUGGCCUUCUUACUCUGUCUGUGUGUGUUGUCAUAUGUCAUUGCUGGAAAAAUUAAGCACUGUCUCUGACCCUCCUUGGAGGUUAUAACUGUAACAAGGAUACACUUGAUGCUUUGACUAUAUCCCCUGUGGCCUUGAAACUUAUGGUUUUUUUUUCUUCUUUUUCUCAAACUUCUUUUCAAACGUCUCCUCCCUAACCUUCCUGAUCUCUCCUCCCUAAUCUCAUUUUUCUCUGAAUCACCUCUGUAAAAGCCCCCUGUUCCUGCUGAUGGGCAGAAUCACAGCCUUUGGGACAGGAGUCUCCUGUGUUUCUCCUUGGCUAGCAAAGCAAUAAGCCUGCUCUUUCCUUUUUCUGAAGACCUUGUCUCUGUUACUGGAUUGGCAUCAAGGACGAGGACGGAGCUUUCGGUUACAUAACUGGAAUCUUGCGCCUGGACUCUGCCUUGUGCAUCUUUGUCCUUUGCUGGUUUUCAUCUGUGUCUUAAACUGUUAAUAAACUGUUAACUAUGAA